UCCCAGUUCGGAUCGGAGCCUGCAACCCGGCUCCGUGAAGCUGGAUUCGCUAGUAAUCGCGCAUCAGCCAUGGCGCGGUGAAUACGUUCCCGGGCCUUGUACACACCGCCCGUCAAGCCAUGGGAGCCGGGGGCGCCUGAAGUGCGGUACCGCGAGGGCCGCCCAAGGGCGAGACCGGUGACUGGGGCUAAGUCGUAACAAGGUAUC
rnacentral:rRNA from 1 species